GGCGGUACUGACCGAAGAUGUCCCCCUUUCGAAUGGAUCCCCUUCACUUGACGUGAGAGGGCGAGGCUGGCAGAAACUACAAACGAAAUGGAUACCAAAAGACUAACAAGCUUCAGAGAAGGAGCAGACUUGGUAAGUUUGAAAUAAAAUUGGACUAGUUUGGUCCAAAACUGCGAAGUUUUGUUAAAGACUCAUUUUGCGUCGAAAAAUAACAGUUACAGUCCGGCUAGCUAGCUGUGCUAACAUUUACUGAAACUGUUUUCAGGUAUCAAAGAUUAAGGAAGGAAGCUUGUGAAACAGACAAGGAGCACCAAGUUUGUGUCACUGGCAAACAAGGCAAAUGAAAGGUGAGGCCAAGAGGACUGAAUGCCAGGUAGUGCAUUUUAUAAUGUUAUGAACACUAGGGUAGUGUAAUGCAACCCCACUUAGCAACACCUACCAUUAAUUCUACUUCCCGGAAACUUCUAAACCACCAUUUACCAUAAAAAUCUAGCUUUACUUGCUGCUGGAUGCUCUUUCCAGAUCAGUCUCUUUUAACUAAAAAAACGAAACUUCACAGUUUCUAAUAUAUGGGUAUGCUGCAUACCUUAAUAUUAGAAAACCACUACCGGGGAAUGAAUGAAUUGGCUUGCUUUGUGUAAAGAGGCAUGAAAAACAUGGCAGGUACAUUCUUACACGAAUUAAAGCUGCCAGACAGUGUCAGGAUGAAACAAUGUCACCCAGUUGAUAACUAUUUCAGGAGGGAGAGAGUUGCAGAAUAACAUUUAGCGCUUAAAAAUGCAUAUUAGUACCAGAAAAUGGAUGCAUUUUUAACAUGCAGUGUUUAAAAAAAACACUGUCAGGCUGCUCGAUCACAUUGCAGGAUGAUGGAUGAUGCAAAUAUUUAAGUGGAAUGAGAAUAUCUUAACAAGUUACUUCAUCGGAUUCUCUGUGAGGUUAGGGUCAGGCCAGUCAAGCCCACUCAUAUCAGGGACAGCAAAUCAGUUUUUGGUUGUUUUGGCGCUGUGGGCAGGUGCCAAAUCUUGCUGGGAGAAAAAAAUCUGCUUGUUUUUCUUACUCCUUCAAAUCAAUUUCUGACUUAAUUGAUAGAAAAUGUUCAACUUUUUCAUCUCCAUUGGUAUUUUUGGGUUUGUUUACACCUGUGCAAGAAAAAUUCUCUCAAGGCUUGCAUUUGUAAAGAUGACCACACUCUGAAGCUCGCCACCUUUUUGGCACACAGAAGGUGUUUUCUUAUUCAACAGACUCCUGGUGCCAUGGUCUUUCUCCUUACUGCUCACAUCAUGAGCAUUCCUUCCCAUAUUGCAUGAAAGCCCUUGCAUGCACCGGUCUCCAUUUAUUUGGAGGUACAGCUGAGUGCGCCAUAACAUCACUCCUCCUGCAUUCACAUCUGUCAAACUCAAUGUUACCCUUGUAACUCGCAGAAAAAGAAAAAGAGAAGCUACUGGGAGCAGAAUUCUUCAUAUCUUCAGAAGUUGCUGACUUUCAGUAUAAUGUACCAAGCUAAAGUCAUGUCAGAGCCCAGGCGUCUUGAAUUGGCUUUCAGAGAGGCUGUUAGAGGAAACACAAGAGCAGAUGUGGAGUAAAACAAAGGCUCAGCACCUCUGUUUUUUCUUAUUAAAGCGGCUAAACAUGAAAAGAUAAAACAGUCUUCAUGCUGUCUCCUUUUUUCCAGUCCCUACAAGCGAGCUCUGGGGGGAACUGAGGCACAAUCCAGAUGACAAAUGAGAGCUUUAUGGCUGUUCGCACGGCAGGCUCUGUGUUCAAGGACACACCGGGAGGAUUUUCCAAGGGACUGGGCCCAAAUUACUUCAGGUUGUAACUCUUUCAAAAUGAUGCAGCGCCUUUAAAAAGGAGACACACACAUGAGGUGUGUGGAGCGCCUGUGAAGGAGGAAGAGAGGGAAGGGAGGCGUUUUGAUAUUCAGUGCAGACACAGAUAAAUACAUUAGGAUGGAAAUCUGGAAGAAGUCACGUAGGCUGGUCACUUUAUCUCUCUGUGCUGUGAUUCAGGGCUCUUUCAUUAUCGAGCUCCCGGCUACAGGAGACAUAAUUGAGUCUGUGCAUACACAGCCGAGCUGUGAAACACCUUUUUGUGUUGGAUGAAAGGGCACCUCCUUGUGCAAUGGAGAACUUUCAGCGUCGUGUUUGGUAUUAAUGUCUUUGCUUGUUGGAGUUGAAUCACAAUGAGAUAUAGAUAUAAUACCAGAAAUGAACUAAUAAGCAUUUAGACAUCUAAAUAAUUCAAUAAAGUAGAAUUAUUUCUGCAUAGGAGCCACACGGGGAUUGUUAAGUAUUCAUGAGCCUGCUGCAGGUAUGGUCAGGUAAGUAAGAGUCCUAAUAAUAAAGCUGUGUUUACUGCAGAGAGGAGGUGUGCUGCUGGCUGCAUUUUAAGUAUGUUUAACUUCCACAUAAGCAGGAUUAAACCUCAUAAAUUAGUAAUGCUUAGUGUAUUGUUUUGCUAUCAAAGAGUGUGAUAACUGCACUAAAAACAUGGUGAUAUGGCUUUUAUCCACAUCUUAAUAACACAACAGCAGACAGCAUCUAAAAAUGACCCUGAAAUACUCAACACAAUCGCUGCGCUCGCACUGUUGAACUCUGUGUUUCAGGUUUAAUUUGAUCUGUAGACUCACUGUCAAACAGCAGGAAACUCUGGAUGAGAGUCAUUUAAAUUCACAGUGUGAGGUAUUAUGUAGUGUGGAGAGGGUAAAGAUGAGCCGCUGCAUCAGUUGACCCAUCCCUUGUUUCUAGGCAACUGCACAAAUUUGUUGUCAUGUGACGACAAAUUCAGGAAGGACACAUAAUUUCUCUCUGGCUGCGAUCGAAAGCAGCACCAGGGAGGGGUGCUUCCUCUGUAUUUUUCCCCUGUCGGAGAUCUGUCUCUAUUUAUUACGGGAAAUUGUGAUACGAGAGCAAAUUUGGGCAGAUCUAAAAUUAGUCUUGGACUUUGUUAUGAUUUGUAAAAACAGGAAAUCAUGUGAAUCGUUCUGCCAAAGAUCAUGUCCAAAAGCUGGAUCCAGGCCUACAAAUCAAACUGUAACUUCAUACUGAAAUUCAUGUUUUAGGCGUGAACCACUCAUUAGGACGUUAGAAUUCUCUUCUCAUUUACAUAAAAGUUUAAAAUUCAACAAUCAGAUUGGUCUAAAAUAAAAUUUAAAAAGUCUCUGCACUAAACAGCGUCAAAUCCGUUUUUUCGGGUGUGGCUAACAUCAGCAGAGCUAGUACUAGUGUUGUAUGAAGUACCAAAGAAAUAUACGUAAGUUGAAGUUGAAGUUCCCUUUCCAGAAAAUGACUCAAGUCAAAGUGAAAGUCUCCCAUGAGAAUUCUACUCAAGUCGAAGUCUUUAAGUAUAUCACAUUCUCUCUACUUAAGUAUCAAAAGUACUCAAGUAAAUGUACUCCAAGUAAAAGUAAAAAGUCAAACUACAAAUGAAUAUGUUUUAUUUUUUUGCAAAAGUCACUUAAGCCCCUUUUAUCCCCCUACCCACUGUCAUAGUAAUGAAGCAAAAAUAGUAGGAGUGGAGAUGCUUCUGUGAAAUGUAGUGGAGUAAAAGUAAACUUUAUUUUCAGAAAUGUAGUCAAAAACUAUUAAAGUACAGAUACUACCAAAUUAUACUCAAGUACUGCGACUUACUAUACAACACUGGCUGGCACCACCAGCCUUAGGUCCUUCUUGCAUUUGCUAGCAUUGCAUCCUCCCUGUCUUGAGGUAAUGGCAUUUUUAACCAGACUCCGCCUUCAUACAACCUUAUCUCCAUUUUAUAGUUCAAUAUACAAGCAAAGAAGUGUUUUGGAAUCAAAGCGAUGAACGUUAAAUGUCACUAAAAGUAAAAAUGGAAAUAUAAAAGGGUAAAAAAAGUACCAACCUGAACCUUCAGUCACCUUUUUAAGAAGUGGGCAGAGUUAAACUCCAUCUUUGAUAAAUCCAUUGUCUUUGUUUCGCUCAUCAAACCUAAACUGACUCUCAAUUUUUAAUUUGACUUCAUUUUGGCAGCAUUAAAACUGUUGCACUCGUUGCCAACAUUUAAAGAUCUUAAUCUCAUGGUAUUUGGUCGGUAAUGUUGUUUGAUCAAAGGAAGUGUAUGAUUGCUUUUUUAAAGCUCCUCUGAGGCUGUUGAGCUGGUUAUGGAACACACUGUGAAUGUGCCUCAAACAAGAUCAUCAGCAACACAAUAGAUCAUUUCUUCAGAGUUAAUUUUAAUCCCUGGAAACGCUGCAGGAGGGUAUAUGUCCGAUAAAGAGAUUAAGAACGCACUGCAGGAAGACUACUUUUCAUACUUCCACAUGUUAGAGUAAGAGAUAUAAUUCAUUUAUUUGAUACUUAUGCAUGUAGAGGACAUUUCCUGUAUGUUUAGAUGCAAAAUUAAAAAAUUUGUGCUGAAAUGCUGAAACUUGACGGAUGUAUCUGUCCUUUAAAAGCUUUUCCAGCUCGACCUCUGAACCAGCUCGGCGUUUUAAAUGAGCUCAUUUAGUCCUGUGUUUUAGCAGCUUAGUUUAUCUUGUGACACCUGCAUAUUAGUUUUGCCUCUGGCCUUGUUUUUUUGUUGGCUAACAAGGAGCUAAUAGUCCAUUAAACAGAAGCUGGCUUGCUAACAGCAUUCUUUUUGUCUUCACCGCAGUUUAAUUUUGAAAAAUGGAAACUUUGUCAGACAACGGCUGAAAGUCAAGAAGGUUCGCUCAACUCUGAAUUCCUCAAGUUUUCCCUGAGUUGUUUGAAAGUGAAUUAACCGCAAAGCUUGAUUAAAGACAGCUAAUGUCAGCUAAUCAUGGUAAUUCAUUGCUUUUUAGGAUUAAUGAGCUCGUGCACUUCACUCCCCAGGGAGAGCCGCGUGUAUCUAAACCGUAAUUUUUUUUUUUUUUUCCAGGACGGGAAUAACAGCCUUGAUUUGAGCUUAGUGACAGUGUUUUUUGAGAUAAUCCUCUCAGCUUCUGUUUGAUAAAAGGAACAGCAUUAUUAAUUUAUUAAAAACCUUCUUCCAGGAGCAGCCCCGCCAGAAACAAAAAGCUCCAUCCCUGACGAGAGCGGAGGCCAUCUCAUCGCUGUUUACCACGACAUGCUGCAUCCAAGAACCCUGAGGUAUGACUCACCACAGAGAGCACACAGGACUGUCUCCAACAUCACAAAGCAGCUUCUCAGAGUGUGGAAGGAUAGUUGAUGAUGUUCAGCAGAUACGUCACUGCUCUUCAGUCUUUUCUUACCCCAGUGAUUGAUUCUUUUUGAAUUAAUGCAUCAUCUAUGAUUGUGUUGUACUUGUAAGGUGUCCGGUUCUUAUUUUCUAGGGCGGGUUAGGUAAGUGGUAAUGCAUAGAGAAGGCUUGUGGUUCAAGUUAAGUAAAAGCAACCAGCAACUUCAAGAUUCUGUCACGAGCCACGUUUCCACGGGCAAAAUUUCUUGAUCCGAUUUAAAUUUGAGGGAUCGGAUAAUCUGAAUCCACUGUUUAUAUGGGUGCAAAAUCAAAUAAUCUGAUCAUGACGUACGUAUACAUGCGCCAAGCUUUAUUUGGACAUGCUCAGAGUUGUCUAAUUUCGCUAAAAUAACUGCAGAAGAAGAAGAGUUGUAUUUACGCCUGUGCUGUCAAAAACGCCAUUGUGGCUCACUU